UACGUAGGGUCCGAGCGUUGUCCGGAUUUAUUGGGCGUAAAGAGCUCGUAGGCGGCUCAGUAAGUCAGAUGUGAAAACUCAGGGCUCAACCCGGAGACGCCAUCUGAUACUGCUGUGGCUUGAGUCUGGUAGGGGAUCACGGAAUUCCUGGUGUAGCGGUGAAAUGCGCAGAUAUCAGGAGGAACACCGAUGGCGAAGGCAGCCCCCUGGGUCAAGAUUGACGCUCAUGCACGAAAGCGUGGGGAGCAAACAGG
rnacentral:rRNA from 1 species